CUGGACAUCACCGAGCCUUCCCUCUCUCAAGGCCGGCCUGACCUCAGGCUUACCGCCGGUGACCAGGCCUGAAAGUUAGUGGCCAGAGUGAUCAGGGAAGAUGGUGUUCCUCUAGAACCUCAUUUUUCUAGCAACAAAUGUUUACUGUAUUUGAAGAAUUCCAUUCCUUAGCAGAAGAGGCAAACUAGGACUGGAGCAGAGGCAAAGGCAAAGAUUGGAGGUUUCAGUCUGCAGCAAAGUCACAACCUGUUUGUGAAUACACUAACACCUUCGGGGCAAAAUAUCAAAUAAACUCUCUUGAACGAUGAAAGCUU